rnacentral:rRNA from 1 species
AUUGAACGCUGGCGGCAUGCUUUACACAUGCAAGUCGAACGGUAACAGGUUAAGCUGACGAGUGGCGAACGGGUGAGUAAUGCAUCGGAACGUGCCCGGUCGUGGGGGAUAACGCAGCGAAAGCUGCGCUAAUACCGCAUACGAUCUGAGGAUGAAAGCGGGGGACCGUAAGGCCUCGCGCGAUCGGAGCGGCCGAUGUCAGAUUAGGUAGUUGGUGGGGUAAAGGCUCACCAAGCCGACGAUCUGUAGCUGGUCUGAGAGGACGACCAGCCACACUGGGACUGAGACACGGCCCAGACUCCUACGGGAGGCAGCAGUGGGGAAUUUUGGACAAUGGGCGCAAGCCUGAUCCAGCAAUGCCGCGUGCAGGAAGAAGGCCUUCGGUUGUAAACUGCUUUGUACGGAGCGAAAGGUACGUUUCCUAAUACGGAGGCUGAUGACGGUACCGUAAGAAUAAGCACCGGCUAACUACGUGCCAGCAGCCGCGGUAACU